UGAACGCUGGCGGCAGGCCUAACACAUGCAAGUCGAGCGGUAGAGAGAAGCUUGCUUCUCUUGAGAGCGGCGGACGGGUGAGUAAUGCCUAGGAAUCUGCCUGGUAGUGGGGGAUAACGUUCGGAAACGGACGCUAAUACCGCAUACGUCCUACGGGAGAAAGCAGGGGACCUUCGGGCCUUGCGCUAUCAGAUGAGCCUAUGUCGGAUUAGCUGGUUGGUGAGGUAACGGCUCACCAAGGCGACGAUCCGUAGCUGGUCUGAGAGGAUGAUCAGCCACACUGGGACUGAGACACGGCCCAGACUCCUACGGGAGGCAGCAGUGGGGAAUAUUGGACAAUGGGGGCAACCCUGAUCCAGCCAUGCCGCGUGUGUGAAGAAGGUCUUCGGAUUGUAAAGCACUUUAAGUUGGGAGGAAGGGCAGUUACCUAAUACGUGAUUGUUUUGACGUUACCGACAGAAUAAGCACCGGCUAACUCU
rnacentral:rRNA from 1 species